rnacentral:rRNA from 1 species
UACGUAGGGUGCGAGCGUUGUCCGGAAUUAUUGGGCGUAAAGGGCUCGUAGGCGGUUUGUCGCGUCGGGAGUGAAAACCCAGGGCUUAACCCUGGGCCUGCUUCCGAUACGGGUGGACUAGAGGUAGGCAGGGGAGAACGGAAUUCCUGGUGUAGCGGUGAAAUGCGCAGAUAUCAGGAGGAACACCGGUGGCGAAGGCGGGUCUCUGGGCCGAUACUGACGCUGAGGAGCGAAAGCGUGGGGAGCGAACAGG